UAUGCCUAGCCGUAACAUUGAUAGAAUUUUACACCCUCUAUCCGCCUGGGUACUACGAGCAUUAGCUUGAAACCCAAAGGACUUGGCGGUACUUUAGAUCCCCCUAGAGGAGCCUGUUCUAUAACCGAUGACCCCCGUUCAACCUCACCCUCCCUUGUUUCUCCCGCCUAUAUACCGCCGUCGUCAGCUUACCCUGUGAAGGUCUAAUAGUAAGCAAAAUUGGCACCGCCCAGAACGUCAGGUCGAGGUGUAGCGCAUGAGAGGGGAAGAAAUGGGCUACAUUCGCUAACAUAGCGAAUACGAACGAUGCACUGAAAACGUUCAUCUGAAGGAGGAUUUAGCAGUAAGUGGAAAAUAGAGUGUUCCACUGAAAUCGGCUCUGAAGUGCGUACACACCGCCCGUCACUCUCCCCAAGCUUACCAAUUUAUAUAUCUAAAACGCUUUAACUGCGAAGGGGAGGCAAGUCGUAACAUGGUAAGUGUACCGGAA
rnacentral:rRNA from 1 species